UGACCUGUUUCUCUCAUAUACGCACAAGCCUUUCGCUUUUACUAAAGACUUCCGUGGGAGAGAACACUUACGAGUUCAACGUAUUUUUGGACGGCUUUGCUUCUGCAGAGCC
rnacentral:snRNA from 1 species